rnacentral:misc_RNA from 1 species
GUGAAUAAACUUGUGUGGGUUGUUGCUGACCUCCUCGGAUGUAAGUGCACACCUGCCAUUGUUUCAUUCCCCUUCCACCUGUGCACUUUUUGUAGACCAAGCUGUCACUUUUCGGGUUGCCUGCAUCCCGGUUAUGAGGAUUUGCUUCCAGCUGUCCUUGGAUGGUGGUGGUCUAUGUCUUUUAUCAACUCUGUAUGUAAUUGAAUGUUCGUUCUGGGUUCUAUACCCAUAAAAUCUAUA